CUUUACUGUAGCCUGGAAUCGGGUCCGGGCUUUGCUUGCGCAGGAUAGGUGGGAGGCGUUGAACUUACCCUUGUGGGGGUAGGGGAGCCAACGGUGAGAUACCACUCUGGCGAAGCUAGGAUUCUAACCCGACUCCGUAAUCCGGAGCGGGAACAAUUUCAGGUGGGCAGUUUGACUGGGGCGGUCGCCUCCUAAAGUGUAACGGAGGCGCGCAAAGGUUCCCUCAGGCUGGUUGGAAAUCAGCCGUAGAGUGUAAAGGUAGAAGGGAGCUUGACUGUAAGAGUGACAACUCGAGCAGGUAGGAAACUAGGCCUUAGUGAUCCGACGGUGCCGCGUGGAAGGGCCGUCGCUCAACGGAUAAAAGUUA
rnacentral:rRNA from 1 species